UUAACCUCUUUCAUCCGAGAUUACCCGCUGAACUUAAGCAUAUCAAUA
rnacentral:rRNA from 1 species